rnacentral:rRNA from 1 species
CCUACGGGUGGCAGCAGUGGGGAAUAUUGGGCAAUGGAGGCAACUCUGACCCAGCAACGCCGCGUGAAUGAUGAAGGUCUUCGGAUUGUAAAGUUCUUUUCUAAGGGAAGAAGAAAGUGACGGUACCUUAGGAAUAAGCCUCGGCUAACUACGUGCCAGCAGCCGCGGUAAUACGUAGGGGGCAAGCGUUAUCCGGAUUUACUGGGUGUAAAGGGGGCGCAGACGGCAAUGCAAGCCAGGAGUGAAAGCCCGGGGCCCAACCCCGGGACUGCACUUGGAACUGCAUGGCUGGAGUACAGGAGGGGCAGGCGGAAUUCCUAGUGUAGCGGUGAAAUGCGUAGAUAUUAGGAGGAACACCGGUGGCGAAGGCGGCCUGCUGGACUGUGACUGACGUUGAGGCCCGAAGGCGUGGGGAGCAAACAGGAUUAGAUACCCCAGUAGUC